rnacentral:rRNA from 1 species
AUUGAACGCUGGCGGCAGGCUUAACACAUGCAAGUCGAGCGGAGUGAUGGUGCUUGCACUAUCACUUAGCGGCGGACGGGUGAGUAAUGCUUAGGAAUCUGCCAUUUAGUGGGGGACAACAUUCCGAAAGGAAUGCUAAUACCGCAUACGUCCUACGGGAGAAAGCGGGGGAUCUUCGGACCUUGCGCUAAAUGAUGAGCCUAAGUCGGAUUAGCUAGUUGGUGGGGUAAAGGCCUACCAAGGCGACGAUCUGUAGCGGGUCUGGGAGGAUGAUCCGCCACACUGGGACUGAGACACGGCCCAGACUCCUACGGGAGGCAGCAGUGGGGAAUAUUGGACAAUGGGCGGAAGCCUGAUCCAGCCAUGCCGCGUGUGUGAAGAAGGCCUUUUGGUUGUAAAGCACUUUAAGCGAGGAGGAGGCUACUAGUACUAAUACUACUGGAUAGUGGACGUUACUCGCAGAAUAAGCACCGGCUAACUCUGUGCCAGCCGCCGCCGUAAAAC